rnacentral:rRNA from 1 species
GUGGGGAAUCUUAGACAAUGGGCGCAAGCCUGAUCUAGCCAUGCCGCGUGAGCGAUGAAGGCCUUAGGGUUGUAAAGCUCUUUCGUGGGGGAAGAUAAUGACUGUACCCCAAGAAGAAGCCCCGGCUAACUCCGUGCCAGCAGCCGCGGUAAUACGGAGGGGGCUAGCGUUGUUCGGAAUUACUGGGCGUAAAGCGCACGUAGGCGGACUGGAAAGUCAGGGGUGAAAUCCCGGGGCUCAACCCCGGAACUGCCUUUGAAACUCCCAGUCUUGAGUUCGAGAGAGGUGAGUGGAAUUCCGAGUGUAGAGGUGAAAUUCGUAGAUAUUCGGAGGAACACCAGUGGCGAAGGCGGCUCACUGGCUCGAUACUGACACUGAGGUGCGAAAGCGUGGGGAGCAAACAGGAUUAGAAACCCGGGUAGUCC